rnacentral:rRNA from 1 species
GACGAACGCUGGCGGCGUGCUUAACACAUGCAAGUCGAGCGGUAAGGCCCUUUCGGGGGUACACGAGCGGCGAACGGGUGAGUAACACGUGGGUGACCUGCCCUCAGCUCUGGGAUAAGCCCGGGAAACUGGGUCUAAUACCGGAUAUGACUCCACGGUGCAUGUCGUGGGGUGGAAAGCCUUGUGCGGCUGAGGAUGGGCCCGCGGCCUAUCAGCUUGUUGGUGGGGUGAUGGCCACCAAGGCGACGACGGGUAGCCGGCCUGAGAGGGCGACCGGCCACACUGGGACUGAGACACGGCCCAGACUCCUACGGGAGGCAGCAGUGGGGAAUCUUGCGCAAUGGGCGAAAGCCUGACGCAGCGACGCCGCGUGAGGGAUGACGGCCUCGG